rnacentral:lncRNA from 1 species
UAGGAGGGCCAAAUUUUGUAGAAGAUAUCUAUAACUCUAUAUGAAUCCCCAAUAAAAAUGAUGACAUAGUAAGCCCUCCUUCUUUUAGAUUUUUUAUAUUUUUUUGUUCUCUUUGAACCGACCUCUCCUCUUCCUUCAACCGUUUCUCUUUUUCAUAUGACAUUUUAUCUUUUGCUCUCUUUGAAACGACCUCUCCUCUUCCUUCAACCGUUUCUCUAUUUCAUAUGACAUUUUAUCUUUCCAAUGUGACCGUUUCUCUUUCCCAUAUGGAAGUUAUCUUCUCCAUGCGACCGUUUCUCUUUUCCAUAUGACAAUUUAUUUUUCCGAUCAUGCAACCGUUUCUCUUCGCCAUAAUUUCAUAUGAUAUUUUAUCUUUCCAAUGUGACCGUUUCUCUUUCCCAUAUGAAAGUUAUCUUCUCCAUACGACCGUUUCUCUUUUUCAUAUGACAAUUUAUUUUUUCGGCAUGCAACCAUUUCUCUUCACCAUAAGUUGUGGUUUCUUCUCCUGCUUCUUCAUUGCCAUUUUCUUUACCAUCUUGCCUUUUUUAGUACAGAUUAACCAAUUCUCUACUUUUAUUUAUCUAUAGAAUUCUUCAGCAUAUUUAAUAAUAUAAUCUGUACAUUCUUUCAUGUUGGAUUUGCAUAAUUGUAUUGAUUUUUAUUUUUUAUUUUUUCAGUAUCAUCCUGAUGUCGAUAAACAGCCUGGAGUUACUAAAAAAGUUCAAGAUGAUAAGCGUGCGGGUAUAUAUAUAUAUAGAGUUGAGCUGGAAUGCUAUCGGUAGCAAACUGGCUCCGUUGCCACCCAUUUGUUUUCGAUGAUGGAGCCUUUAAAUUGAUGAUCAGCACCGUUGAACAUGAUCUAUACUACUUGAAGUAUCUAGAAACCAAAUUUCAAAUCAUUUCGACAUCAUUGACCUAAUGAUCAAAGGGUUUCAAAAUUUAUAAUUUUAAUGGUAGAUAUGGGGCGUUUUCUCGUUUAACGUUGUAAAACUAACCAAAUCAAUUGAAUUUUGGUUAGAAAAUUCUUUAAACUAUUUAGAAUAAAAUCUAUACUCUCAAUCUUGAUUACAAAAUUCCUAUCGUCACUUUUUAGAGGAUAUUCAUUUUCAGCCGUUCAUUUUUACGCCCACUUGAUGGACAAGAGAACAAUAUCGGAAAAACAUGAAAUUUGAUUUCUAGAUACUUCAAGUGGUAUAGAUCAUAUUCAACGGUGUCGAUCAUCAAUUUGGAUGCUCCAUCAUCGAAAACAAAUGGGUGGCAACGAAGCCCGUUUACUACCGAUAGUAUUCUAGCUCAACUAUAUAUA